UUAUAACCCGGUAUAUAAAGGUUGCUACCACUUACAGAUGGACCCGCGGCGCAUUAGCUAGUUGGUGAGGUAACGGCUCACCAAGGCACGAUGCGUAGCCGACCUGAGAGGGUGAUCGGCCACACUGGGACUGAGACACGGCCCAGACUCCUACGGGAGGCAGCAGUAGGGAAUCUUCCGCAAUGGACGAAAGUCUGACGGAGCAACGCCGCGUGAGUGAUGAAGGUUUUCGGAUCGUAAAACUCUGUUGUUAGGGAAGAACAAGUACCGUUCGAAUAGGGCGGUACCUUGACGGUACCUAACCAGAAAGCCACGGCUAACUACGUGCCAGCAGCCGCGGUAAUACGUAGGUGGCAAGCGUUGUCCGGAAUUAUUGGGCGUAAAGCGCGCGCAGGCGGUUUCUUAAGUCUGAUGUGAAAGCCCCCGGCUCAACCGGGGAGGGUCAUUGGAAACUGGGGAACUUGAGUGCAGAAGAGGAGAGUGGAAUUCCACGUGUAGCGGUGAAAUGCGUAGAGAUGUGGAGGAACACCAGUGGCGAAGGCGACUCUCUGGUCUGUAACUGACGCUGAGGCGCGAAAGCGUGGGGAGCGAACAGGAUUAGAUACCCUGGUAGUCCACGCCGUAAACGAUGAGUGCUAAGUGUUAGAGGGUUUCCGCCCUUUAGUGCUGCAGCUAAAAA
rnacentral:rRNA from 1 species